rnacentral:rRNA from 1 species
GACGGAGGGUGCGAGCGUUAAUCGGAAUUACUGGGCGUAAAGCGCAUGUAGGCGGCCGAACAGGUCAGGUGUGAAAUCCUCGGGCUUAACCUGGGAAGUGCACUUGAUACUGUCCGGCUAGAGUUUGGCAGAGGAAAGUAGAAUUCCCGGUGUAGCGGUGAAAUGCGUAGAGAUCGGGAGGAAUACCAGUGGCGAAGGCGGCUUUCUGGGCCAAUACUGACGCUGAGGUGCGAAAGAGUGGGGAGCAAACAGG